GUAAUCUGCUCCUACACCUCGGGUAUUGGCUGGAUGGACGGAUUAUUUAUUCAUGAAAAUAACUCAGUUAAUAAGAUAUUCUUAAUCUUUUUAGGCCUAAACUCCUAUAUUAGACUCCUUAAAAACUUUCGAAUCAGAAAUUCUAUCGAAAAUUCGACAGAACCUCUCUUAAAAUAUGGACGUUUGCCCCCAUAUAAUGAAUCCAAAAUCUGCUAGAAACACUUCAAAUAUUUAAUAGAAGUCGGGCCACCAAAAUUUCAUUAAUUUUUUUUGACUCCGCAACACACUAUAGAUCAUAAUUAAUUACAGACGGUCCGUCAUUAAUAUUUAUUUCACAACCAGCCUAUAAAAAAUUUCUGGUAUUUAAACUAAUCAAACACAAUCACAUCUACCAUAAAACAAAACAAUAAUUAAUCAUACUAAUAAAUUUAUGAUAUUUAUAACUAAAUCAUAAUUAAUUAAAUCUAACUAGAUUAAAUUAUUUAUAAUUGAUAAUUAAUAGGAUUAAUAUUUUCUAAAAUUAUAAAAUAAUUUUUAAGGUUCAAACGAAAUUAUACGAGGGUGAAAAUUUGAAAUUAUGCUGGUCCGAAAAACACUAAAGUCCCAAAGCCGGUAUUGCCAAAGGUGGAGGAUUUUAAAUCUAAAAGUGCCUACGUGAAGCUUGAAUUGCGGUGAGUCCGAAAAUAUAACUGCUUUUGCCGGAAACUCGCCGGAAGCCACCGGAUCGAGGCCCGAAAGUUUCGGCUUCGGUGAGGUUGCACACAGUUGCCAGCGGGGAAAAAGCGGCUAGGGAGCUCGGCUCGGGGCUUUUCGACGGCGGGAAGCUCGUUUCCAGCAUUGGGCGAGCGAAAGGACGACGGCAUGAGGCUAUUUCGGCAGCGAUAGCUCCCUCCUCCACGUUCGACAUUGGCAGCGAGGGAAAGGAAGGAGGAGGUAAUGCUGGCAAGGGAGGGGAAGAAAAUGAGGAAGCUGCCGGAGGCUGGAGGAGGUGGCAGGCGGUGGAAAAAGAAGGGAGGUGAGGGAGGAAGAAGAGAAAAAAGGGAGAGGAAAGAAGGAAAAGAAAAAAAGUUU
rnacentral:lncRNA from 1 species